rnacentral:tRNA from 1 species
GGGGUAUUAGCGCAGCUGGGAGCGCGCCACACUGGCAGUGUGGAGGCCACGGGUUCGAGUCCCGUAUACUCCA